UAUAGAGCAGGCAACUUGAAUGAACUCUGAUUGCUUUUACUAUCAUUUUUACAUCACGAUGGGAAUUAUGUAUGAUACAAGAGAGCUACCGCAUCCUUGCAAAUGGGUUCCAGAAUGAAACAGUCCAAAACGAGGUGCCGGGUCCUGUUCCAUGGAAAUUCCCUAAAUUUACAUUGUUAGGUUUCUUGCGCUUGAUGGUUGAAAUCGUUCGAAGGGGUCUUCCAGUAAAGAGCACGUGACUUCUCACGAUUUUCCGGUCCUGUUCUUGUAAUUCAAUACAGAGUCAAAAUAUAAUGUGAGACAACUGACCGCUGCGCCUGUUGAAGAGUUGGGCUGUGUGCAUGUGGGGACUGGACACUUGGGCAUCAGACACUGACCACAAGGAAUACCUACAUUUUUCUACGUCUUUCUGGGAAUGAAACAUUAGUUUAAUAUAAAAUGUGUGAAAUAAUAUUUAGUCGGAUUUUUCUUGGGUUUCCGUUACUUCUCUGGAUGGCAGGUGGGCCUACACAUGCCGCCUGUCCUAUUAAGCUCAACCCUCCCAGAGUGGUGGUGAGAUAUGGAGACUCAGUCUCAGUCAACUGCAGCACAUCAUUCACAGACCAUGAGGGGAUGGGCUGGGAGGCCACAUUAGGAGGUACAGGUUUAGAAAAGGUCAACUUUGUCAUCUGGAAUGUGGAGAAUUUGACAGACUGGACAAUACAACCUGCAUGCUACCUCACACCAAAAAAAGGAGAGCAGUGUUCGAAAACGUUCCGUGUCAUUCUAUACAAGACUGCAGACAGCGUCUCCAUCUCUCCUCAGAGCCACUCUGGUCCGAUGGUGGAGGGGACAGAGUACCAGCUGCGGUGUGACAUAAAGAACGUCGCUCCUUUACGGAAGCUGGUUGUGAGGUGGUACAAAGGGAAUGAAACUGUAAAAACUGAAACAUUUCAUGACUCCAGGAAGAACCCAGUGAAUGUGUCCUCCACCCAUAACAUUACCCCCAGGAGAUUUGAGGAUGAAGUAAAGUACAGAUGUGAGGCAGAGCUGGACCUGAGACCAGAGGGACCAGUGGUACCACUACCUGUCUCACAGACUCUUCAUUUUGCUGUUUACUUCCCACCACAGAACAUUCUGGAGCUGAAGGACACAGAAGUUGAUGUUGGUUCCCCUACUGGGCUGAAUUGCUCCUCCAAUGGGAACCCCCGGCCAGAGUACUCCUGGACUUAUCACCGGGCUCCCAACGUGAAAUUGAAGAACGAUGAUGGGGGGUCCCUACUGACCAUCGAGCAGGCCACAGGGGAGAACAUUGGGACCUACACAUGCCACGCCAGUAAUACCCUGGGAAAGGUCUUUAAAAUAGCCAGGGUCUCUGUCAGAGGAGCAGAGCCGGUAUGUCCUAUCAAGCUGAUCCCUGAGAGUGUGGUGGUGAAAUAUGGAUCACCAAUCUCAGUGUCAUGCAGCAACACAACCAGUGUUGAAGAGAUCUACUGGACCACAGGUCCAGAAGUUGUCAAUGACACUACCUGGAGUGUUUUGGAACUCCUAAACUGGGACAUAAGGCCUGGUUGUAAGGCAACCUUUCAGGGGAUUGGAAGAUGCAGUAAGCCUCUGCACAUCACAGUAUACAAGACUCCAGACAGCAUCUCCAUCUCUGUUCUGAGACACUCUGGUCCCAUGGUGGAGGGGACAGAGUACCAGCUGCAGUGUGACAUACAGAACAUCGCUCCUCUACAGAACCUGGUUGUGAAGUGGUACAAAGGGAAUGAACCCUUAGGUAAUGUAACUUACAGUAACGUCAGUAAGACACCAGUGGAUAUGUCACCUACUCUGAUGAUCAGCCCCAUUAGACAUGAUGAUGGAGCUCAGUAUAGAUGUAGAGCACAACUGGACCUGGGACCAGAGGGACCACAACCCCAUCCUACAGUGACAUCAGAACCUCUCAACAUUACUGUGCACUAUAAGCCAUGCAUCAAUGCAUCUCGACUGCCAGUGAGGAUACCUGUGUUCAGGGGCUAUCCUGAGGAGUUAGUGUGUGAGGCUGAGGGUUACCCACAGCCCAGGAUACAGUGGGUCUCUGACCCAGCGAAGCAUGUCAGUGAGGCGGGAGGCAACCUGACUGUCUUUGAGGCAGGGCUCUACAACUGCACCGCCACCAACGAUGUGGCGACAAGCUUCAUUGUGGUAGAGGUGGUUUUAAAUGAGGACUACCUGCCCCUCAUAGCGGGCUUCGUGGCCUUCAUGGUCGUGAUCAUCUCGGUCAUCUUCGUCUUCAUCUACUCCAUCUACUACAAGAACACCAAGAUGGGCCGCUACAGCCUGAAGAAGGCCAAGCUCAGCAGCACGCCCAACGGCAACGUAGCGCAGAACGGCGGCCAGGACACUCCGCUCCCGAUGACUAAACUGUCUCAGCCAAACAUCAACUUUUGUAGGCCAACACAUGCCUCCUCUCUUGUUCUCAACCCUCCCAGAGUGGUGGUUUAAUGGAGACUCAGUCUCAGUCAACUGCAGCACAUCAUUCACAGACCAUGAGGGGAUGGGCUGGGAGGCCACAUUCGGAGGUACAGGUUUUGAAAAAGAUGUCAAGAUUGUCACCUGACUGUGGAUAACCUUACUGAUUGGACAAUAGAACCUACAUGCUACAUCGCUCUCAUUGACGGCGAACAACCCUCAGAAGUACUUCCAGUCAUUCUCUACAAGACUCCAGACAGCGUCUCCAUCUCUGUUCUGAGACACUCUGGUCCCAUGGUGGAGGGGACAGAGUACCAGCUGCAGUGUGACAUACAGAACAUCGCUCCUCUACAGAACCUGGUUGUGAAGUGGUACAAAGGGAAUGAACCCUUAGGUAAUGUAACUUACAGUAUCGUCAGUAAGACACCAGUGGAUGUGUCUGAUACUCUGAUGAUCAGCCCCAGUAGACAUGAUGAUGGAGCUCAGUAUAGAUGUAGAGCACAACUGGACCUGGGACCAGAGGGACCACAACCCCAUCCUACAGUGACAUCAGAACCUCUCAACAUUACUGUGCACUAUCCCCCAACCUUUUCCAGACCUGAAGCUGAGACCCUGGACAUCAGAGUGGGGGGCAGAACAACGUUCUGGGCUAUCAUAGGAUCGGUUCUGGGAACUGACCUUUGUGUUCGUGAUUGUCUAUGUCGUUGUCAAACAGAGAGCAGGUCCCAACUCCAUCAUCUGAGCAGGCCAGAGGAAGAGAAUUUCUAUCGUUACACCCUUGAUUCUGAGUAUUGGAGGGCUUUUGUUAGUAAUCACAGUUCACUUUGGAGUUGCCAAGCAGGACCAAGUCGGAAUUCCACUCGCCUUUCAACUCAGACCAUAGUGGACCUCAGAAAAGUCUGCAAAAAGAUGGAAAACAACUUUCUAAAAUGGAUCCUGACCUUUUGCAUGUUCUGCACCGUGUCAGGUGAAGGAUGCUCUCUGGAGCUGAAACCCUCCAGGGUGGUGGUGGGGUUUGGGGAGCCUGUGUCUGUCAGCUGUGAGGCCUCUCGCCCGGUGCGUGUCCUAGGCUGGGAGUCAGCCAUCGGGGCAGCACACACCCAACAGGACCGGGCUGUCCAAUGGAAGGUGGACAGUCUGAUCGACUGGAUCGAGGAGCCUAUCUGCUACGGAGUCUUCUUCACUGCACCCAGACAGUGUGAAGAGAAACUCAACCUCAUUCUUUACAAGACUCCAGACAGUGUCACUAUCAGCUCAGCGAACCACACUAGUCCCAUGUUGGAGGGGAAAGAGUACCAGCUGCUCUGUGAUGUCCAGAACAUCGCUCCUGUUCAAUACCUCACCCUGAGGUGGUACAGAGGGCAGACUGAAGUUUACAACCACUCUUUCUCUGAUUUGACCCCUGCCUCCCCUGUCCAAGUAUCCUCCAUCCUCCUGAUCACCCCAACCAAAGCUGAUAACGGAGCCCAGUACAAGUGUGUUGCUCAGCUGGACUUGGGACCAGAGGGACCACAACCGCCUCCUUCAGUGACAUCAGAGCCUCUCAACGUCUCUGUGCACUACCCCCCAUCCUUCCUCAGUCCUGAGGCUGAGACCCUGGACAUCGGUGUGGGGGAUGAAAUCACAUUAAACUGCACGGCUACAGGAAGCCCCAGUCCUGUGUACAGCUGGCAGUCUUCAGAUCCCAAAGAGAAGAUGGAGGACCAACCUGUUUUUACCUCUUCCUCCUUGCUUCCAGGGACCUACACCUGCAUUUCCUCUAAUAAGAUUGGCAAGAAGAGUAAGCAGUUCAUCAUCAAGACUAAGUCUUAAGGUGUGAGAAUGUCAUCAUUGUCAGCCAGACCGUCGCACAGAAAAAAAGGAAUCGCCUUACAUUUUUAAAGACUUUGGUCAUGUAAUAGUUUAUAGUAGCAUAUUAUUGUGUUAUGAUUGAUUCUUGUUUUUAUUGGAACAUAACGUAUACUUUGAUGUGUUUAAAUAUAUAUGUAGGGUAUACAGUUCACAUUCAGUGUGGAGAACCCUAGAACGCGAGGUAGUGUGAAUAAUUAUAUCCAUUAAUAAGCUAUCCAUUAACUUUAUUUUGGAAAUCUACGUUGUUGUUUAUGUUCUCUCUUUUUUUACAUGCAUAAAAACACUAAUAAAAUGACAAAUGUAUAUUUA